rnacentral:rRNA from 1 species
UACGUAGGGGGCGAGCGUUGUCCGGAAUCAUUGGGCGUAAAGCGCGUGUAGGCGGCUCGGUAAGUCUGCUGUGAAAGUCCAGGGCUCAACCCUGGGAUGCCGGUGGAUACUGUCGAGCUCGAGUCCGGAAGAGGCGAGUGGAAUUCCUGGUGUAGCGGUGAAAUGCGCAGAUAUCAGGAGGAACACCAAUGGCGAAGGCAGCUCGCUGGGACGUGACUGACGCUGAGACACGAAAGCCAGGGGAGCAAACGGG